rnacentral:rRNA from 1 species
GACGAACGCUGGCGGCGUGCUUAACACAUGCAAGUCGAACGAAGUGGCGAACGGGUGAGUAACGCGUAAUCAACCUGCUCUUCAGAGGGGGACAACAGUUGGAAACGACUGCAAAUACCGCAUACUGAAGGAGGGGAUUGAGUCUGAUUAGCUAGCUGGAUGGGUAACGGCCCACCAAGGCGAUGAUCAGUAGCCGGUCUGGGAGGGUGAACGGCCACAAUGGGACUGGGACACGGGCCAGACUCCUACGGGAGGCCGCAGUGGGGAAUCUUCCGCAAUGGACGAAAGUCUGACGGAGCAACGCCGCGUGAGUGAUGACGGCCUUCGGGUUGUAAAGCUCUGUUAAUCGGGACGCGGUACCGGAAUAGAAAGCCACGGCUAACUACGUGCCAGCAGCCGCGGUAAUAC